rnacentral:rRNA from 1 species
UACGUAGGGUGCGAGCGUUGUCCGGAAUUACUGGGCGUAAAGCGUGCGCAGGCGGUUUUGUAAGUCUGACGUGAAAGCCCCCGGGCUUAACCUGGGAAUUGCGUUGGAGACUGCAAGGCUUGAAUCUGGCAGAGGGGGGGUAGAAUUCCACGUGUAGCAGUGAAAUGCGUAGAGUAUGCGGAGGAACACCGAUGGCGAAGGCAACCUCCGUCGGCGCACUGACGCUCAUGCACGAAAGCGUGGGGAGCAAACAGG